rnacentral:rRNA from 1 species
UACAGAGGGGCAAGCGUUGUUCGGAAUUACUGGGCGUAAAGGGCGCGUAGGCGGCCUUCUAAGUCGAACGUGAAAUCCCUGGCUCAACCCAGGAACUGCGUCCGAUACUGGAGGCUUGAAUCCGGGAGAGGGAUGCGGAAUUCCAGGUGUAGCGGUGAAAUGCGUAGAUAUCUGGAGGAACACCGGUGGCGAAGGCGGCAUCCUGGACCGGUAUUGACGCUGAGGCGCGAAAGCCAGGGAGCAAACGGG